CUCUUGUAGAAACUGCUCCAGUCAUAUAAAUCCUUGCUUUUCAAAGUAUGGUCCACGGACCAGUAGCAUGGGUAUCACCUGGGAGCUUGUUAGCAAUGCAGAGUCUUAGGCUCCAACUGAGACCUAUUGAAGCAGAAUCUGCAUUUUUAACCAGCUCCCAAGUGAUUUGUAUGCUUUUUUCAGGUUUCAUCUAAGCACUGGCCUUAGAUGAUUGAUGACAGCUGUCUGGCCUUGGAGGAGCACUAUGGAAGAAGGAUCUGAGAACUUUGGAAUUCGGGGCACAAGAAGAGGGGCCUAGAUUGGGGAAUUGAAUUUUGGGAAGAGGGAGAAGUGUAGCCCUGGCUUACCUCCUUGUCUCCAGGCCUCCAACACCAGUCGCUAUGCCAGGGCUUGGCACUCUGCCCACCUCAGGUAUCUUCAAGAAGUCUGUGGAUAGAAAGAAGCAGCAGAAGCUGGAGAUCCUUCUUACCGGUGGCAAGGUCUGGGGCUUUUGGAAGUGCCUACGAGCAGUGCCAUCCUAAUCUGAGUGCAGACAGAUGGGCCUCUCCUCUGAAACCAGAGACUGAGUUUGGGUACCCAGCGAUCCUUCCUGAAAUUUCCCCCACAGCAAUAGGAGCCUAUUUCCCACACACUGAGUCUCUCCAGCUCUUCAAGGAGCCUAAACACAAUCUGGCUGCUGUUGGGUGCAGGGCACUGGAUCAGGGGAGAAGAGCUUGAUGACAGUGGGUGGGUAGGAAAGGCUAGGGAAGAAGCUGUGGCUUCUAUGGCCCAAGUGUCAAGUGUGUAAGGCCUUGAUAUUGUAAAAAUCCCAGCUGUACAAUUCUACCCGUUUUCCCUACGAGGCCAGAGAGCUUGAGUGACGCACCAAAAGACACCUCGCUCACGGAGCUGGCUUCCUGUCCCGGCGUACCCUGACUUUUGCCCCAGUCAUACCCCCUUUGUAAUCAGCUCUGAGUUGAGGUGGGUGCCCAGAUGCCCAGCAUUAUGAGAUCAUGUCUUAGGCACAGUAGCUUUUGUGUGCUCCCCAAAUUCCUUCCACUUGCCUGACUUGUCCAGUGACUUUAAAGUAAUGCGGCCGCCAGAGCUGGCUCCUCCAUCCUCUGAGAUUCGCUACGGGAUGUUUGCUGAAAAAUUAUCUGUCUCCAGCUUGUCUGUCCUGUGCUCAGUUUUUCUUAGCCAUCACAACAGCCCCUGACCUACAGGCUCCCUGAGCAGCACCUCCUCCCACAAGAGGCAC
rnacentral:lncRNA from 1 species